rnacentral:rRNA from 1 species
GGCUAAUCCGACCUUUAAAUCUACCUGGCUUAGUUAUUAAUUUAAUUUAGUCGCUAAAGGUAGAACGUUUACUUUGAAAAAAUUAGAGUGUUCAAAGCAAUUUUUUAUGAAUACAUUAGCAUGAAUAAUGGAAUAGAGUCAGCGACUUAUUUCGUUGGGUUAGAGUUGCAAACAUGAUGAAUAGGGAUGGUUGGGGUCAUUAGUAUUUAUAGUCAGAGGUGAAAUUCUUGGAUUUAUUAAAGACUAACUUAUGCGAAAGCAUUUGACAAAUCCAUUCCCAUUGAUCAAGGACGAAAGUUGGGGGAUCGAAGAUGAUUAGAUACCGUCGUAGUCUCAACUAUAAACUAUGCCGACCAGGGAUUGGAUUAAAUAAUAUUAAUUCAGCACCUUGAGUGAAAACAGAGUCUUUAGGUUCUGGGGGGAGUAUAUUCGCAAGUAUGAAACUUAAAGGAAUUGACGGAAGGGCACCACCAGGAGUGGAGCCUGCGGCUUAAUUUGACUCAACACGGGAAAUCUCACCAGGUCCAGACAUAAGAAGGAUUGACAGUUUGAUAGUGCUUUCUUGAUUUUAUGGGUGGUGGUGCAUGGCCGUUCUUAGUUGGUGGAGUGAUUUGUCUGGUUAAUUCCGAUAACGAACGAGACCUUAACCUUUAAAUAGUCUUUUAUAUUACGAUAUAAAAAACUUCUUAAAGGGACUGUUGA